AGCGAACGCUGGCGGCAGGCCUAACACAUGCAAGUCGAACGAACUCUUCGGAGUUAGUGGCGGACGGGUGAGUAACACGUGGGAACGCGCCUUUAGGUUCGGAAUAACUCAGGGAAACUUGUGCUAAUACCGAAUGUGCCCUUCGGGGGAAAGAUUUAUCGCCUUUAGAGCGGCCCGCGUCUGAUUAGCUAGUUGGUGAGGUAAAGGCUCACCAAGGCGACGAUCAGUAGCUGGUCUGAGAGGAUGAUCAGCCACAUUGGGACUGAGACACGGCCCAAACUCCUACGGGAGGCAGCAGUGGGGAAUCUUGCGCAAUGGGCGAAAGCCUGACGCAGCCAUGCCGCGUGAAUGAUGAAGGUCUUAGGAUUGUAAAAUUCUUUCACCGGGGACGAUAAUGACGGUACCCGGAGAAGAAGCCCCGGCUAACUUCGUG
rnacentral:rRNA from 1 species